CAUGUAGAAAGCUUAUUAUUUCCUUGUUUGGACGAGGGUUCGACUCCCUCCAGCUCCACAA
rnacentral:tmRNA from 1 species